AUCCAGAUUGUCUUCCGAGUGGCAGCUUCCUCUCUCUGGAGUUACCUGUUGGAGUUCUCGCUGACUUCUCUUCUGCUGAAGCUGGCCCAGUCUGGAAGCCCUCUCGGACGCUUCCGUCAGGAGCUGCAGGGUCUUUCUGCUUCCUUCAUGCUCAGAGAGUUGGCACAGUUAUCAAGGGCUUAAACGUGGAAACACCCCUCUUUUGGUGCCGGCCCCUACUGAGCAGCAGUAACUUCUGAAAUGAAGACUUAGUAUGGGUCAUCCGGAAAGGACACAAGACUCGCUUUGGGGAAUAAUGCUGAUGGCUGGGCCACACUCCACGUGCACAAGGUUGCUGUCAAUGGAAAGUGUGCUUGGAGAUGGAAGGACUGUGUCAAGGGCAGAGACCUCCACCCCAAGAUGCCCUCUGGGUAUUAUCUGGAAGUCUCACUAGCAGCCCCUUGAGCAUUGUCUUCAAUCCCCAGGGCUUCAUUAUGUGGACCCUACACAUCUUAGAGCCCAGGCUGUCAGCUGCCAAGGUAAGUGUGCAAUCUAGGACAGGAGAAGUGACUCUUGGAUCCCACCAGGGGAACCUCAUUUUAAGGAAGUCUCAUCAGUGAGACCCAUGAUGUACAUCCUGAAGACAGAGUUUUCUCAAGGAUCCUGGCUUCUCUGCUAGACCAGGAACAGCACAGGCACUUUGUGUUUGCUGAGGUGAGAAGGGUCAGGAGGGCUCCAGGCUAACUGGCAGUGUGCUACAGAAGUUUCUGGCCUGGGGUGGGUCCUGUGUCUCUGACUUGCUUGUCCCUGUGAGGCCCAGUAUACCUCCGUGCCCCCACUGACCUCCAGAGAAAGCCCAGCCAGGCUUUACCAAGGAGACGUGGUGCACAAAAGGGGAAGCAUCCAGCACAAUCCUCUCAGAAAUGUGGCUUUGACAGAGCAGGAGCCCCUUGCAAUUAUCUUAUUUAUUGGGUGGUCCUGAUUUUGAAAAUUCUGGGGUUCCAGAAUUCCACAGUUGGAUACUUUCCAUCAUAAACAGAAAUCUGACUUUGUUUUUCCUUUAGGAUAAUAAAGGUCCUUUGACUGGAGGAAACUUUGACUUCCUGGUGGCCAAACCACUUCCCCUCACUCCCUCUAUGAACACUCUCCCUACCCUCUAGUCAGCCUCCUCCCUCUAGGAAAGGCAUUUUGGUUUCAUAGCAUUUCACUUCUCUAACACAACCACUAGCCUCUGCCUAAGUGGCUCCUGGGUCCUGAGCUGAGCAGAACUGAAACUUGAAGGCAUCCAACUGCCAACUAACAUUCUCCUGACCAGCCAGGGGUCCCCAGAAGGUGGGUAGGUUGGAACCUUAUUGCUUCAAGCAUAUGUAUGUAUGUAUGUAUGUAUUUUCUACUCCUGUGUUUCUCAAACUGCUCCCCAGAACACUAGUCCCUUGAGUGGAUGAUAGAUACUCAUGAGGGGAGAAAAGUGUUCUGUGGUUAAAUAAAUUUAAAGAACAUUACAGUGGGUGGGGGGAUGGGGUAAUUGGGUGAUGGGCAUUAAGGAGGACACUUGAUGUAAUGAGCCCUGGGUGUUAUAUGUAACUGAUGAAUCACUAAACUCUACCCUGAACCUAAUAAUACACUAUACAUUAACUGACUUUGAAUUUAAAUAAAAAAUUUUUAAAAAAUAAAGAAUAUUUCAUACACUCUCUUUUGGAACUUUAUAGUGCACACUAUUAUAGUAAAGGCUCUGAGAAGGCC